CCCCAUCCCCACGCAUUUGAGCCAAAUGCUGCUGCUGUGCGCCAGCGUUUGGAAGUGAUGCGUCGCUUGUAAAGAACAACAAAAGGACUGCAUCGGUGAGGACACGUCCACUGCUGGAGGGUUGAGAGCCGCGUGCCGUGGAGACGCUGGGUCCAGACGGCUGCUCAGCUGCAGCAUCGUAACCACUGGCCCCGCUGGAACACCCAGCAACUGAAAUAAAAUUGUUCUAUAUUAAUAAACUGUAAUUGUGUAGCCUGCAUA